CUGAGGUUGCACAAGUAGCAAAGUUCUGUUUGUGUGAAUGCUGAAGAGCACAAAAAUAUGUUAUUGCUAUACCACCCAAAAAGAAAAAAAAAGUUUACAUUCUACUGCUCCCACAUUUCUCAAGCGAUUCAAGUCAUUCAAGCAUAAAAAAAUAAAUGUCUCUGAACUCUUGGCCUGUCACGAUAUAUUUUGGAAUCUCUCCAUCGCAAGAUCUCUGUGCACCAGAGAUCUUGCUUUGGAGCGAUACAGACUCGGUACGCAGAUCUUGCUGUCAAUUCUGGCGUUCUACAUGGGUAUUUGGUGCCAGUUGCUAGUAUCUUUAAGUUCCUGGUCGGGCAUAGAGAUGUUUGCUGAACCGUGCAUAAACAAGCAACGAAAUAGGACAAAAGAGCACCAAAGAGGACAGCUGCUUGCCGAUGCACAUGGCUGCGCCAGCUAGCAUGAGCGCUAUUUGGCACAAUUAUUGCUACUGAACUCAGUAGCGCCACAUCAAUAAAUGAGAAAAAUAGUUGAACGUGCCAAUGAACCAACCGGACAGGAACCUAACUGAAACAGUGAAAGCGAACCGUUUAAACGCUCUUCAAAAAACAUUUCACCCUAUGUGUACAUGUGCUUGUGAGUGUCAUCCUGCCGAGAAGAAUCAAAGUAACCGACAGCAGGCAAUGAAGCAGCACGACUGAAUGUUGAUCACAUAUGUAAACAAAAGUGCAUGUAAAUGACCAUUUAUCUAGCCCGGAAAAACUAUUCUUUUUGUAUUUUAUUGAUCGAGGGAUAAAUCGACGUAGAAAUUAUCGUCACAGGCCGACUGAAUUGACCGUAUGCACGGAGUGUUAUGACGUCCACGUUCUUCGCCGUGCAAGUCUGCUUUGCGGGGAUAAAUUUGCAGUUACAGCAACCACGUCUUUUCUUGGCAUUUCCUUUCCACUGAUGAGCCAUCAACCAUACUUUACACUAGAACUCCAGAGCCAUCAUAUUGACGCUUCCCAAGCUUUGAGUGUUGUUAUUCUGUUCAUAUACAGUGCUGUGAAAAAGUAUUUGCCCCCUCCUAAUUUCAGUUCUUUUUGGCUAUCUAUUACACACAAAGGUUUCAAAUCAUCAAACUAAUUUUCAUGUCACUCAGAGACAGCCAAAGAAAAUGCAAAAUGCAGUUUUCAAAUGUUAAUUACAUCUAUUAAGG